GCGCCGGUGGUGUAAGGCGAACAUCGCUGCCCGGAAAGCAGAAGAUGCGGGUUCGAGUCCCGCCUGGCGCG
rfam:Heligmosomoides polygyrus genome assembly, scaffold: HPBE_scaffold0000062